rnacentral:rRNA from 1 species
GUCUACGGCAGUGCUACCCUAAACAAGCCCGAUCCCAUCUGAUCUAAGAAGCUAAGCAGGAUUGGGCCUGGUUAGUACUUGGAUGAGAGACCACCUAGGAAGAUCAGGUGCUAUAGGCA